rnacentral:rRNA from 1 species
GCGCACGCAGGCGGUCAAUUAAGUCAGAUGUGAAAGCCCCGAGCUUAACUUGGGAAUUGCAUCUGAAACUGGUUGGCUAGAGUCUUGUAGAGGGGGGUAGAAUUCCAUGUGUAGCGGUGAAAUGCGUAGAGAUGUGGAGGAAUACCGGUGGCGAAGGCGGCCCCCUGGACAAAGACUGACGCUCAGGUGCGAAAGCGUGGGGAGCAAACAGGAUUAGAUACCCUGGUAGUCCACGCUGUAAACGAUGUCGAUUUAGAGGUUGUGGUCUUGAACCGUGGCUUCUGGAGCUAACGCGUUAAAUCCACCGCCUGGGGAGUACGGCCGCACGGUUAAAACUCAAAUGAAUUGACCGGGGCCCGCACAAGCGGUGGAGCAUGUGGAUUAAUUCCAUGCAUCGCGCAGAACCUUACCUACUCUUGACAUCCUGCGAAUCCGUUAGAGAUAGA